AGUGAACGCUGGCGGUAGGCCUAACACAUGCAAGUCGAACGGCAGCACAGGAGAGCUUGCUCUCUGGGUGGCGAGUGGCGGACGGGUGAGGAAUACAUCGGAAUCUACUCUGUCGUGGGGGAUAACGUAGGGAAACUUACGCUAAUACCGCAUACGACCUACGGGUGAAAGCAGGGGACCUUCGGGCCUUGCGCGAUUGAAUGAGCCGAUGUCGGAUUAGCUAGUUGGCGGGGUAAAGGCCCACCAAGGCGACGAUCCGUAGCUGGUCUGAGAGGAUGAUCAGCCACACUGGAACUGAGACACGGUCCAGACUCCUACGGGAGGCAGCAGUGGGGAAUAUUGGACAAUGGGCGCAAGCCUGAGCCAGCCAUACCGCGUGGGUGAAGAAGGCCUUCGGGUUGUGAAGCCCUUUUGUUGGGAAAGAAAUCCAGCUGGCUAAUACCCGGUUGGGAUGACGGUACCCAAAGAAUAAGCACCGGCUAACUUCGUGCCAGCAGCCGCCGUAA
rnacentral:rRNA from 1 species